rnacentral:lncRNA from 1 species
UCUCUUCAUAUCAGCUCCAUCCCUGUAACUGGCUGUCAAAUAUUUCUUCUCUCUCUCUCUCUCUAAAUUGGUUUGUCUUUAGUCUUGUAAUUGGACCAAACCAGGAGGUUUUUGGGUACCCAAUUCUUCAAUUUGUGAGAUCUCUUCAUUGCACGUUCUCUUCGUCUAGGGUAAUCUCUCUCUCUCUCUCUCUCUCUCUCUCUCUCUCAAUUGGGUUUGCCUUUAUUCUUGGAAUUGGACCAAAACCAGGAGCUUUUUGGGUACCCAAGUCUUCAAUUUGUAAGAUCUCUUCCUUGGACCUUCUCUCUCUAAAUUGGGUUCCUUUAUUCUUGGAAUUGGACCAAAACCAGGAGCUUUUUGGGUACCCUAUUCAAGAAUUUGUAAGAUCUCUUCAUUACACCCUCUCAUUCAAGAAAUCUCUGUUCUUUCAGAAAAAUGCCA